rnacentral:rRNA from 1 species
UACGGGGGGGGGCAAGCGUUGUUCGGAAUUACUGGGCGUAAAGGGCUCGUAGGCGGCCAACUAAGUCGGAUGUGAAACCCCCAGGCUCAACUUGGGAACUGCAUCCGAUACUGGAUGGCUUGAAUUCGGGAGAGGGAUGCAGAAUUCCAGGUGUAGCGGUGAAAUGCGUAGAUAUCUGGAGGAAUACCGGUGGCGAAGGCGGCAUCCUGGACCGACAUUGACGCUGAGGAGCGAAAGCUAGGGGAGCAAACGGGG